AGCUCCAAUAGCGUAUGUUAAAGUUGUUGCAGUUAAAAAGCUCGUAGUUCGAUGUUGUGGUCUUGUUGUGUUGGGUCGGCUUGACAAAAGUCAGUCGACGUCCUCACAUGCAACGAUCAACGAAAGUGAUUGUACGUGUCUGUUCUUGAUUGAGCAACACACAAGUGCAUAAUUGCUCAUUUACUGUGAGAAAAUUAGAGUGUUCAAAACAAGCAACUCGCUUGAAUAUGUUAGCAUGGGAUAAUAAGAUACGACUUUCGUGCGUAUUUUGUUGGUGUAUUACCGUUGAAAGUAAUGAUUGAUAGGACUAGUUGGGGGUGCUCGUAUUUGAUGGCCAGAGGUGAAAUUCAUGGAUUCUUCAAAGACGAACUUAUGCGAAAGCAUUCACCAAGGAUGGUUUCUUUG
rnacentral:rRNA from 1 species